GAGGGUAGAGCUCAGUGGUAGAGCGUGUGCUUAGCAUGCAGGAGGUCCUGAGUUCAAUCCCCAGUACUUCCA
rnacentral:tRNA from 1 species